AAUAUUAGACAAUGGGGGCAACGCUGAUCCAGCCAUGCCGCGUGUGUGAAGAAGGUAUUCGGAUUGUCCUGCACUUUAAGUUGGGAGGAAGGGCUGUAGGCUAAUACCCUGAAGUUUUGACGUUACUAACAGAAUAAGCACCGGCUAACUCGGUGCCAGCAGCCGCGGUAAUACAGAGGGUGCAAGCGUUAAUCGGCAUUACUGGGCGUAAAGCGCUCGUAGGUGGUUCAGUAAGAUGUGUUGGAAAUCCCCGGGCUUAACCUGGGAACUGCUUUCAUAACUGCUGAGCUAGAGUACGGUAGAGGGUAGUGGAAUUUCCUGUGUAGCGGUAAAAUGCGUAGAUAUAGGAAGGAACACCAGUGGCGAAGGCGACUACCUGGACUGAUACUGACACUGAGGUGCGAAAGCGUGGGGAGCAAACA
rnacentral:rRNA from 1 species